rnacentral:miRNA from 1 species
UCUAAGCCUACUGUCUUUCCC